AGCAAUUUGAUUUUGAGGGUCCUUCACCAUUCUCUUUGAUUUUCGGGUUGUGGCCUACUUCCUCUCAAAAGAGAUGAAGUGGAAUUUUUCACAAUGUAGAGACUCUAAUUUCAUCACAACAAAGACCCCAGCUACUUUUCCAAUGUCCUUCAGUAACCCACGGGAUUAUUUUCUGCUUUCUGUUAUGCACAGUUAAAGACCAAAUCUAUAUAGUUUAGAAGCUGUCUGCAAAUUCCAGCAAUAGCAAAGUGAAAAGCCGAUAAAGGUAAUCGUAAAUGUGCACACAGAGAUGGAUGGAGAGAGAUUAAGAGAGGAAUUCUAGGACUGUCAAACUACUACCAUGUCAAAUCAUCACCCACCUUCAACCCUGCCUCUUGACACCUUCAUAUACUGCAAGAACCACUACCAAUACAGGGCUAUGGCUGCUACCGUGAUUUCAAAUAUCUCUAAUAGCAACCUCUGAGGACAACCAUCCAAAGGCAAGAUGGAAUGUGGGGUACUGCUGCAAGUGUUGCCUUGAAAAGAAAAGACUGCGGUUGAUUCAAAUGCUCCAGCUACUGCUUGCAGUGCACACAAGACUGAGACAGGGCUGAUGAAUAACUUUAUAUGUAAUAACAUUAUAACCUUAUUUCACAAAGAUCAAGGUCCUUAAUGUUUUUCUUUUAAUAUGUUUUUUUAUUUAUUUAAAUGGAUGUAGUUUAUUUAAAGAUAUGUAAAGCAUUCUUGUGUUUGCAUGUUGUGCUCCCUUUCUACUGUUUAUUAAUUGCACCAUAUAUGACUUUUCAAAUGAUACUCCUAAAUGUGAUUUUUAAAGCACAUUAAUGAUUACAAGAACAAGGAAUAAACAACUAGGAUUACCAGGAUUUUGUAAAUACACUGAAUAAUAGAAGGGAUUAUGUUAAAAAAAAUGAUAGAGACCUUAAAUUUCAUGAAAGAAAGGAUGCAAUUGAUAAUAGAUGUAGGAUGCCUACCAGUAGUUUGAGGUUGUUAACUAAAGGUACAAAUAAGUAAUACAAAGUUAGAUGUUGUUUUUAACUUUGUACUUAGGUAGAACACAACAAUCAAAUUUCUCAUAUUGGUGUAGUGUUUUAAGAGAUUUGAACUUCGAUAAAUACUCA